GUGAGGGAAGGGGUGACUAGUGGCAGAGUGAGGGAAGGAAGGGGUGACUAGUGACAGAGUGAGGGAGGACUGGUGACAGAGUGAGGGGGGGGUGACUGUCACUAGUCACCCCAUCCCUCUCUCUGUCACUAGUUACUCCCUCCCUAACUCUGUCACUGUGUCACCCACUCCCUCACUCUGUCACUAGUCACCCCCUUACUCUGUCACUGUGUUACCCCCUCCCUCUGUCACUAGUCACCCCCUCCCUCAC